rnacentral:rRNA from 1 species
UACGGGGGGGGCAAGCGUUGUUCGGAAUUACUGGGCGUAAAGGGCUUGUAGGUGGCCAACUAAGUCAGACGUGAAAUCCCUCGGCUUAACCGGGGAACUGCGUCUGAUACUGGAUGGCUUGAGUGUGGGAGAGGGAUGCGGAAUUCCAGGUGUAGCGGUGAAAUGCGUAGAUAUCUGGAGGAACACCGGUGGCGAAGGCGGCUCACUGGCCCGGUACUGACGCUGAGGCACGAAAGCGUGGGGAGCAAACAGG